GGGCAGAUGGCAGAGCGGUUGAAUGCACCGGUCUUGAAAACCGGCGACUGUAACAGGUCCCUGAGUUCGAAUCUCAGUCUGCCCG
rnacentral:tRNA from 1 species